UUUGGAAAGGAGGGGGACUGACCUUUGCUACACUUUUAACAGUUUAUUCUCCAGUCGUUGCACCAUGGCAGUAAACCACAACAACAACAACAACAACAACAGCAGCAGCAGACACUCACCCUUGUUUUUCUGUGGACGAGCGGUUCCGUUUGUUUCACAGAGGCCGAGCUGCUCAGACAGACAUGAAGCUGAAACAGAUGGCAGUGUGGAGACUGGGGGCUGAAUGGUGUUGUGCCUUAGCAGACUGAAGACUGGGAGCUGGUAAGAAUGAGGAGGCUUCAAAGCUGGCUGGACAAAGAUCCAAGAAGUUCUUAUUGAGCAGUGGGACGCCGCUGGGUGUGAGAGCUGGCUGAACAGGGGGAGACUGAAGACUUGGGGAGCUGGCUGGACAAAGAUCCAAGCGUCAGAUGGUGGUGAGAUCACAGAUGUGAUCAAAGGGUCCACUGCUGUCUGAGCUGGCUGAUCCAUCACAAAGGAAAUGAAUACUCCUGACUGGUGCCGCCAGUGACACACAACGGGUGAUCUGGUUUAUUAUAAUGGGAAGUCUGUGUGUAUAUUUUGUGCGAUACAGCAAGUGAUGUCUGCCUUCCCCCUAUGAGAGCUACCGGCUCAUGAUUAUAAACCUUUUUUUUAAGGCUACUGUUGAUUGGUUGCAUUUGUCUCUAUGGCCCUGUUCACACCUGACGACAUUAAAAUGCGCCUCGAGUGGCCACUCAUGAUCAGAUCUGAAGAGGCCGUCCUUCGUGUUGCUCGCACGCUCACCUGCCGCUGCUGCCUGUGACGUGUAACUUUCUGCGAGAUCAACUGCUCUCUCUCCUUUACUCUAAAUCCUUGUGCUACUGUCACUGCCUUCUGCUAAUUACAGGGUGUUGGAUUCGUCUCACCUGAAUUAUGUUACAUCAAUGUGAUCUUUGAAUAAACUAUUUUAUAUUUAAAC